rnacentral:rRNA from 1 species
CCUACGGGGGCUGCAGUGGGGAAUAUUGGACAAUGGGCGAAAGCCUGAUCCAGCCAUGCCGCGUGUGUGAAGAAGGCCUUCGGGUUGUAAAGCACUUUCAGUGGGGAAGAAAGCCUUGGGGCUAAUACCCUCGAGGAAGGACAUCACCCACAGAAGAAGCACCGGCUAACUCCGUGCCAGCAGCCGCGGUAAUACGGAGGGUGCGAGCGUUAAUCGGAAUUACUGGGCGUAAAGCGCGCGUAGGCGGUCUGAUAAGCCGGUUGUGAAAGCCCCGGGCUCAACCUGGGAACGGCAUCCGGAACUGUCAGGCUAGAGUGCAGGAGAGGAAGGUAGAAUUCCCGGUGUAGCGGUGAAAUGCGUAGAGAUCGGGAGGAAUACCAGUGGCGAAGGCGGUCUUCUGGACUGACACUGACGCUGAGGUGCGAAAGCGUGGGUAGCAAACAGGAUUAGAUACCCGAGUAGUC